AGAGUUUGAUCAUGGCUCAGGAUGAACGCUAGCUACAGGCUUAACACAUGCAAGUCGAGGGGCAGCAUUUCAGUUUGCUUGCAAACUGGAGAUGGCGACCGGCGCACGGGUGAGUAACACGUAGUCCAACCUGCCGAUAACUCGGGGGAUAGCCUUUCGAAAGAAAGAUUAAUACCCGAUGGUAUAAGUCAGACCGCAUGGUCUUGUUAUUAAAGAAUUUCGGUUAUCGAUGGGGAUGCGUUCCAUUAGGCAGUUGGUGAGGUAACGGCUCACCAAACCUUCGAUGGAUAGGGGUUCUGAGAGGAAGGUCCCCCACAUUGGAACUGAGACACGGUCCAAACUCCUACGGGAGGCAGCA
rnacentral:rRNA from 1 species